AUAUUUGUCGGGGAUGAUUCUCCUUUCCAUUCAGAGGCUCUCCACAUGACUGCUAAAUAGAUCGAAGAUUCAGUGCCCUAGUUGAGGUACAAGUGUGUGGAUCAAUGGUGACAGAAGAGCAGCCACAUGCUAUGUUAAUACCAAUGGAGUAUUUCCUCAUGGGGUAUGGACUAUACA